CACCGCGGUUAAACGAGAGGCCCUAGUUGAUAAUAUUACGGCGUAAAGGGUGGUUAAGGAAAGCACAAUAAUAAAGCCAAAUGGCCCUUUGGCCGUCAUACGCUUCUAGGUGUCCGAAGCCCAACUCCACGAAAGUAGCUUUAGCAGAGCCCACCUGACCCCACGAAAGCUGAGAAA
rnacentral:rRNA from 1 species